rnacentral:rRNA from 1 species
AAAGGGGGUUAAGAAGGUGUUUAUACUUAAGAAGAUCUGAUCUUUUUAUAGAGGUGGAAUUUGUAUAAAUGGAUUUGGUUUUUUAUCUUCUUUUUUUUGAUGCCUCGAAAGUUUAAUAGAAGACCGGGAUUAGAUACCCCGUUAUUUAUUUUGUAAACUUUGAUUGAUGUUUUGAUUUACUUGGGUAUUACGGGUUGCUUAGGUGCUAGUCUACUUAGGCGGGAUGCUUAAAACUCAAAAAACUUGGCGGUGCCUUAUUUCCUUCCAGGGGAACCUGUCCUGUAAUCGAUGGUCCACGAUUUAACUUACCUUUUUUUGUAUUUUGAAGCUUGAAGCGGAUGAAACAGUCUGUAUACCGUCGUCGUCAGAUUACCUUUGAGAGUGGUAGAAGUUGUCGGAAGAGAGCGUAAAUUUAGAGAGUGUUUACUUACACAAGUAAGCAUAAUGUGGAUGUAUAUCUUUGAUGUCAGAUCAAGGUGCAGCUUAUAGAAAGGAAGAGAUGGGUUACAAUAAAUAUUUAAUAUACGGAUUUUGCGCUGUAAUGCGUAGUUGAAGGUGGACUUGGGAGUAAUGUAUAAAAUUUAGAAAAUAGUGAGUUUAUGUGAAUAAUGGUACUAAGGUGUGUAC